rnacentral:miRNA from 10 species
UCCCAUGGUAUGAAUAUACUCAUUUGGUGCAAAAGUAACUGCGGAUUUUGCCAUUAAAAGUGAUGGCAAAAGCCGCAAAUUACUUUUGUACCAACCUAAUACCAUAUUUUCUUUAUCCAUCCCACUGUCAAUGAACAUUU